AGAACAUGAAGCCACAGCAUCUGCAACUGUAAGGAAGAUUUUGUCCUCGCCAAUUGUAUUUGCAAAAUUGGACGCAUAGAGCUUGUCAAUCACCACAGGACCAGGAUUUGCCAGAAUAAGCUGCACAACAGACAUAGGGAACUUCCUGGAUCGUUUACAAGACAACCAUCGUUAGAAAGAAGACAAUUCUGAUAUGAAGCAAAAGCCUGGUAUACUUCACCAAACAUGUUAAAGGUUGCCUUCUUUAGCUUUUCUUUGUUUUGUUUCAUAUUUUAUUAAUGUUAAAGACAGCCUAGAAAGCUAGAAAUUCUAGAACUUAAGAACAGAACAACAUGCAACUUAACCCAUGCUCACUAUAAAUGCUACCCUGGAAAGGAAAAAGGCAACUAAGAGAAACUCUAUGGUGUGGUCAGAGGUAAAGAAACUGAAGCUAACCACAACAAAAUAAGGAAACUUAUGGAAAAAAGGAGUCUUAGACAACAAUUGUAAGAAGAUGCAAAGCCUUCUUGAUCAUGAAAAGGUGUUAUAUCA